AUUGAACGCUGGCGGCGUGCUUAACACAUGCAAGUCGUGCGGUAACAGGCGUAGCAAUACGUGCUGACGAGCGGCGAACGGGUGCGUAAUACAUGGGAAUCUGCCCUUUAGUGGGGAAUAACCCGGCGAAAGCCGGGCUAAUGCCGCAUAAGAUCUUCGGAUGAAAGCGGGGGAUCGUAAGACCUCGCGCUGAUGGAUGAGCCCAUGUCGGAUUAGCAGUUGGUGAGGUAAAGGCUCACCAAGGCGACGAUCCGUAGCUGGUCUGAGAGGACGGCCAGCCACACUGGGACUGAGACACGGCCCAGACUCCUACGGGAGCAGCAGUGGGGAAUAUUGGACAAUGGGGGAAACCCUGAUCCAGCGACGCCGCGUGUGUGAAGAAGGCCUGCGGGUUGUAAAGCAC
rnacentral:rRNA from 1 species